rnacentral:rRNA from 1 species
UUGUCGAUGCCUAAACAUCAGAACGACCCGCGAACAUGUUUAACAACCGGGGGCGUGGUGGUCUGAGAGGGCCGCCCCGUCCCUCCCCCGCACCGGUGGUCGGGGCGCUUGCGCCUCACCCCGUCACGGGUAACCAAACCCCGGCGCAGGUCGCGCCAAGGAACAAAAACGAAAUCGCUUGCCCCCGGGCCCGGUCACGGUGUUCCGUGGGCAACGCAUUCUGUCGUAUUCACAACGACUCUCGGCAACGGAUAUCUCGGCUCUCGCAUCGAUGAAGAACGUAGCGAAAUGCGAUACUUGGUGUGAAUUGCAGGAUCCCGCGAACCACCGAGUCUUUGAACGCAAGUUGCGCCCGGAGCCAUCUGGCCGAGGGCACGUCUGCCUGGGCGUCACGCAUCGCUGCCCCCACGCAACCCCCCACCCAUGCGGUGGCCGGGUCGUGGGGGCACACACUGGCCUCCCGUGCGCACCGUCGCGCGGAUGGCUUAAAUACGAGUCCUCGGCGCCUGUCGUCGUGACACAACGGUGGUUGCAUAACGAACCGCGUCGCGACCCCAGCCGCGCCACCCUGAGGCCUCCGGUUGCCACGUGCAACGAGACCCCAAGAAGGCCGUCCACGACGGCUCUCUCGACGCGACCCCA